rnacentral:tRNA from 1 species
GAAAGUAGCUCAGCUGGUAGAGCAUCAGCCUUCCAAGCUGAGGGUCGCGGGUUCGAAUCCCGUCUUUC